rnacentral:rRNA from 1 species
GAUGAACGCUGGCGGCGUGCCUAAUACAUGCAAGUCGAGCGAACGGACGAGAAGCUUGCUUCUCUGAUGUUAGCGGCGGACGGGUGAGUAACACGUGGAUAACCUACCUAUAAGACUGGGAUAACUUCGGGAAACCGUAGCUAAUACCGGAUAAUAUUUUGAACCGCAUGGUUCAAAAGUGAAAGACGGUCUUGCUGUCACUUAUAGAUGGAUCCGCGCUGCAUUAGCUAGUUGGUAAGGUAACGGCUUACCAAGGCAACGAUGCAUAGCCGACCUGAGAGGGUGAUCGGCCACACUGGAACUGAGACACGGUCCAGACUCCUACGGGAGGCAGCAGUAGGGAAUCUUCCGUAAUGGGCGAAAGCCUGACGGAGCAACGCCGCGUGAGUGAUGAAGGUCUUCGGAUCGUAAAACUCUGUUAUUAGGGAAGAACAUAUGUGUAAGUAACUGUGCACAUCUUGACGGUACCUAAUCAGAAAGCCACGGCUAACUACGUG